CAGCCUCCAUUGUCGCUCGCGUUUCAUCGCGUUUUGCGCCACGCCUGCAUGUUUGCCCGCAAGAAUAUCGGCGCGAGGCGUGUGAAAAAGAGACAGGCGAGAGGGGACCAGCCAGAUCGGACGGAAUAACUUGUUUAUUUAACCGAGAUAAAGAGCAACGUGCGAGAAGUUCAAAGGUGGCUCGCUUAAACUUCGGCGAAGACCUCAAGCAUGAUCUUGAUUCUGGAACUUCGUCGAAAAUAGAGGAAGCUGUUGGUGGUAUGAGCUACGAUGUUGCGGGACAUCUAUAUCGCGAACAGAGAUGAAGAAAGCGAGGAAGGGGCAGAAAAGAAGGAAACGUAACUGAUCGACCCGCAUGAGCUCGGUAUCUCGACAGCAGGCAAACUGAGGAUGGUUCUCCGGCUGCAGGAGGCAGGGGAUUUUAAGCGACGUC
rnacentral:misc_RNA from 1 species